CGGAUAGUUUGGACAUGCAGUUCCAUAGACGCAGUUACACACACUUACAUCUAGAUGGACAACCUGGGUUGCACUUGUGCUCCUGCGCUAAAUGAAAUGAUUACUCUAUCUAAAAAAAAACAAGCCAUAUGUCUUUUAGAUGCCAACAUAACGCUCGGCAGCCGUGAUUGUAACACAAGCUGAUCCCAUGUGUAACACUUUAUGCUUAUGCUUCCACCAAUAACCCUGUAUAUGAUUAUGCAUUUAACGAAACUGUCGAUUCACCCACCCUAACUCUCCUACUUUAUCUUUAAUGCUACAAACAAUUUGACUCCUAAUGUCUACCUACAGCCAUCAGAGAGAUACUAAUUUACUAAUGCCUAUCGACACUGUUAUCUUGUAUCUGCG